rnacentral:rRNA from 1 species
AGGACGAACGCUGGCGGCGUGCUUAACACAUGCAAGUCGAGCGGAAAGGCCCUUCGGGGUACUCGAGCGGCGAACGGGUGAGUAACACGUGAGCAACCUGCCCUUGGCUCUGGGAUAGCCUCCGGAAACGGGGAUUAAUACCGGAUAUUCACUUUUUCCUGCAUGGGGAGGGUGGAAAGUUUUUCGGCCAGGGAGGGGCUCGCGGCCUAUCAGCUUGUUGGCGGGGUAAUGGCCCACCAAGGCGACGACGGGUAG